UAUUUUUCUUUUUGUUUGUAUGCAAGAUCAAGACAAUCAUGCAAGAUGGCAUCUAUGCAACCUUGGUAAAGUUUGAAGCUUAUUCAAAGGAACUUGCAACAAAAACUCUAAUUCAACAAAAUGCGAGAAAUUAUUCAGAGCCAGAGCCUUACACUGAUCAUUCAUGGGAGAAGGAUUCAUCAUCUCAACUUGAAAAAACCUUGACUCAGUUUAUAAAGAUGACUCGACUCAAUUUCGAGAAAAUCAAUAGGCAUCAAGAAACCAUGCGAAAUGACAUGGAAAUAU
rnacentral:lncRNA from 1 species